UGUGUGUGUGGUACUGAUGGUCUGACGUGCAGCAAGACAGUGACGCAGGAAGCGGGUGUCUCCGCCACACGGGCCAGGCGGGGCCUUUCUAAGGAUGAUAAACGUAAAUUGUAUUUUAACUUUGGCCAAGAACAGUGUUUCUUUUGUCAGUGUUGCCACGUGUCCAUUGUCUGAAGCACCUCUUGAUAACGGUGUGCACGCAGCGCAGCGCAGCGCACGGCGUGUGUCGCCUCACCAGUCUCAGGAGAAUCACGGUGUGCACGCAGCGCAGCGCACGGCGUGUGUCGCCUCACCAGUCUCAGGAGAAUCACGGUGUGCACGCAGCGCAGCGCAGCGCACGGCGUGUGUCGCCUCACCAGUCUCAGGAGAAUCACGGUGUGCACGCAGCGCAGCGCAGCGCACGGCGUGUGUCGCCUCACCAGUCUCAGGAGAAUCACGGUGUGCACGCAGCGCAGCGCAGCGCACGGCGUGUGUCGCCUCACCAGUCUCAGGAAGAGGGCAGGCAAAAGGGUGAAGGAAUGAACCUGUGAGGAACAGCAAGCCUGGUGCUGACUCAGGGCAGCGAACACCUCACGCCGCGCGGCUGCCGCGGCCUUGCCUCACUCACUCAGUCAGUCAGUCAGUGAGUCAGUCAGUCAGGCUCACUGGCCGCGUGGUGCUCCCAGCAGGCACACUGCUGUUCUCACCUCUCACUCACUCACUCACUCACUCAGUCCUCUCUUCUCUGACUCCCACGGCCUGAAGAUGCCAGGCGUGUCUUUAUUGUUGAGGCCAGAGGGAAGGGUGGGGGGAGGAGGAGGUGAGUGUUGGCUGAGGCGCAAGGAGGGGGAGGGACGCGCCCCACUGGUGUGCGGGGAAGGGCUCCAGGAGCGCCGCGGGGCAGCCGGCCAGCGCGUCCAGCUGCGGGCAGCGCGGCGGGUACACAGCGGGACUGUGCGUGUCAGGGGAGAAAGGGCGCCCCUUGGUUGGCAGUGGGACGCGAAGGCAGCGCGGUGAGGAGUCGCUGGGCGCGGCAGUCCCUGUUGGAAGAGCGCGGCGCUGUCCGGCGCCUGCUGCGUCGCCGCCAGGAAGGGACGGAAGCCCUGAAUCAGGCCCUGCGGCGCGGAGAACUGUGGCGACGACCUGGCGGGGAGGCAGAGUGGAGUGUUGACUGGUACUCACAGAACUCGCCUGAACUAACCUUUUCCGAGGCCCCUGCAGCCACUGGCAGUGUCUGGAGGCUGUACGGAUGCGUAAGGCUCCUGCUCACCCGUCGUGGUGGUCUGCUGGCUUUCUGGGUUUGCGUCUGGGCCGGUACUUGUAGUUCGGGUACUUCUUGCGGUGCAGCAGCCUGAGGGAAGGAGCGCCGCGUAUUACCCCUCUUACAAAAAAAAAAAAAUGUUAAUGUAUGAUGACGUGGUUUUACUACUGAUAUAUAUAUAUUAUUGAGUGGUGAGAGUGUGGCUCAUGUGUACUGGUGUCCUGAAGUGCGGACUCUCUCCCUCCCUCUCUCUCUCUCUCUCUCUCUCUCUCUCUCUCUCUCUCUCUCUCUCUCUCUCUCUCUCUCUCU